rnacentral:rRNA from 1 species
GUCAAGCCUAAGUCAACAGAAGUAGCACGGGAAAUUAUCACAACAUAUCCCUAAGUUAGAGGAAAUAGCACACAGAAGAACUUCGACUACUAAAGGUACCGUUUUAUUUUAGUCACAAGAGCUAGGGACCUUUUUGUUUUGUUUUUUUUAGAAAGACAUCGCGUGUAUUUUCUUUGUACAUGGAAUAUACAUCUUUUUCUGUGCAGGUUCAUGUUGAGGUUAGGAAGGUUAUGCCUACCUAGAGAUAAAAGAGUGAUUAACUGGGAUAGUAACUGAGAAACGACACUAAACCGAAGGGGUUAGUAUCAAAAGAGUUAGGGAGUUGGUUCUACCCGUCCCCCACCCCCUAUACCUCUUCCUGCCUCGAGGACAACACCAACCACGGCAGCGUUUACCACCUACAACUGGUACGACAGGGUACCUCCCUUCCAUUAGAACUUCUUGGUAAUAGAGCAUUUCUGUAACUGGUAGGUGAGUCGUGUUGUCGUCCCGGUGCUACCAAAUACCUAGGUUCCUCAUCUACGUGACUGACGUCAAACUUCGGUUACUUACGUAAACUCCUACGCGUGUACCACAUAUAAGAUUACUUCCUUCGGAUCCUUGUUCGUAUAAAUGCUGUAUGUACCUCUUCUACCACAGGUUAUUUCCCUUUUCAUCGUUUCAUUUUGUACUAAUCAAAUCUCACUGUACUUUCAUCUGAUAGAAAGUUGUUAUCCACCUAAGAAUUCUAUUCCUGUCCACAUGUUGCGUUCUCGAUAUUAUUCCGGAUUGUACCAACGACCUUCUAUAUAAACAUGUUAUUAUCCGUACGUGUACGUCGACAUCAUUUUUCUCAAUUAUUGAAUUAUACUCUAUAAGUUAAGGUCACGGACUUACUUUUAUCGACUUGUUUAAAGACAUUAUAUCGUCGGGUUAUCAAACAUAUUUAUGCCUACGUACGUCC